GGGCCCGUAGCUUAGCCCGGCCGAGAGCGGCCGGCUCAUAACCGGUUGAUCGACGGUUCGAAUCCGUCCGGGCCCA
rnacentral:tRNA from 1 species